rnacentral:lncRNA from 1 species
GUUUUAGAUUAAAGCUGGUCUGGCAAGGCCCAACUUUGGUUCUACAUUUGCCCAACAUUAUAAUUUUGAUAAAUUGAAAUGCAUAGGGAGUUAGCGCUAUGGUGUUGGUCCCAAACGGUCUGCCUGCGGGGCCACCACGGGGAAACUCGAGGUUUCGCACUCGUAGCUAGUUCCAUCCGUCGGGUCCUAAGAACGAGAUACGCGGCUCCUAUCGGGUACGUCGACACGUCGGGCGUCCUUGCUGGAUUAGUUUUACCUUUGACGAGAUAUCUUGUGCAUCGGGAUUCCGGUGAUGCUUUGGGUAAACUCAGAGUUGAGGUUUUCCACUAGGGAAUCCGACGAGAUCGCGAGCUUCGUGAUUGAGGAUUUCUAUGCGGCUUGUGGUAAUUUGUGAUGGACUAGUUGGAGCACCCCUGCAGGGUUAAAUCUUUCGGAAAGCCGUGCCCGCGGUUAUGUAGCAACGUGGAAACUUUGUUUAACACUGGUUCUAGAUAACUUGAAGUUAACUUAAUUAAAACAUGCCAACUGUGUGCGUAACCGUGACUGUCUCUUUCGUGAGUUCUUUCUCCGAUCGAGGACACGGUGGGGUUAUGUCUGACGUAGGUAGGUGUUCAGGAUCAUUCAUUUGAUCAUCUGUAGUGACGUCCGUUAUGCGUAGAUCAUCCCCCUCUUUAUUCUUGUACUCGUAAGUU